AUUUUGCAUUAACGUUCUGCACGCUGUGUUUUCCAUACUGUCUUUGAAAACGGGACAUGGUCUGGCCUUCCUGCUGACAAUUACAGUCUGUGCACAUGAAUUAACUUAAGAUGAAGAGUUGUCUCUGACGACAGACACCAGUAACAGAUCUCACUACGCACAUGAAGGUCUUUUCCAACCUGUAUGAUUCUCGGAAUACCCUCAAAAACUCUGAGAGCUAAGCAGCUGGGGCAGGCUCAGGUGCUUAGACACCUGAGAUGUUAGCCCAGCUACAGCCCUGUGCCAACUUCAGGUGAUAAUAUGUGAGAAUUUUUCUGACAAGUUUAUUUGGUCUGUAUCAUAGAAUCACAGAAUGGUUUUGGUUGGAAUGCCAAAAUCUAUUUCCAAACCAGCUGCAACACGAAGGGACACCUUUCACUAGACCACGUUGCUCAGAGCCCCAUCCAGCCUGGUCUUGAACACUGAUAGGGAUGGGGUAUCUACAACUUCUCUGUGCCACCUGUACCGUUGCCUCAUUAUCCUCAAAGAGGACAAUAUCUUCCUAAUCUCUGUUCUACUACCUAAUCUAAACCUACUCUCUUUCAAAGGCCAUUCCCCUUGUUCUGUCAUUACUUGUGAAGAGUCCCUCCAGCUCUCUUGCAGUCCCCCUUUAGCAACUGUAAGGUUGCUGUAAGGUUUCCUCUGAGCCUUCCCUUCUCCGGGCUGAACAAUGCCAACUCUCCCAUUCUAUCUUCUUAGCAGAGGUUCUCCAGUCCUGUGAUAACUUAGUGGCCUUCUCUGGACCCAGUUCAAUAGGUUCACAUCUUUUUUGUGCUGAGGACCCCAGGCUGGAUGCAACAUUCCAGGUGGGAUCCCGCAAGAGCAGAACAGAGGGGAAGAAUCGCCUCCCUCGAUCUCUAUAUCCAGUGAUGGGCACUGGGAAGUACAGCUUCAGUUCUCAGUUCACAAAAGCUGUGCUGAAGCCAUUCCCCUUGCUGUGCAGGUGGUCGUGAUCCUCUGGGGAGGAUGCCUGGUUUCUGGGGUCACAGCAGCUCAGGAGCCAGGACACACCACUACUAUGAGCAUCCAGGGAUCUUUCUCCUUUCACACUACGUAACAACCAGCCAUAAGGGCUGCUGUGUGUCUCCUGACUACUGUAGUGCUUUUCAAAAGAAUGGAUUACAAAAAUGCUGUCAUCUUGAAUUCUGUCAAAUACACUUUGAUAUGCUGAACAUGAAGACAGUCAAGUUUAACACCAAUCCUCUAUAAAAUUGCUAAUAAAAAAAUAUAUUAUAACAAUAUCAAUUACACAAAACCAUAAACUGUUCUUGUUAUUCUGGUGAUGAUUUUUGAGUAUCAGUUGCUUACAUUAAAUUCAAGUUCAAACAGUUAAGCUUUAAAGCAAAACUUAAUUAACUAGCAAUAUGGAGUUACAGAAUGUUAACUGGAUUCUUAGUUAAGUUUACUGGCAUUUUCUUCCUUAAAAAAAAAAAAAAAACAAACUAAAACCAAACCAACAAACAUAAAAUGAUUACACAUUACUUCUUUCACAUCAAAAGUUUCCAAACUGCUUUG